rnacentral:lncRNA from 1 species
AUGGGCUCUUCCGUGACCUCGGGGACGCGGAGGGACCCGGAGGGCCCCGCGCUCUGGGGCCCCCAGCGCACGAGCUGGCCCAGGCGGGGGGUGGCCCCCGCUCCCCUGCGCUCGCCUCAUACUGUCCGCAACAUCCGGGACCUGCGAGACCGCCGAUACACAAAUACACACACACAAGGAGCGCGCACACUCACACACACACACACACACCGAAACACACCGGCCGGGGCGUCAUGGCGUCAGCACGUCGACGCAGCGAGCGCGUACCCGCCGGGGCCCCACCCCGCGCGGCCUCCGCCUCCUCUACUCCGCUCCCCUCCCCUUGUUAGAUUCUCCAGCUCCUCCUCCCUCUGCCUCAAGACUCCGCCUACCUUCCCUAGUGCGCAUGCGUCCCUUGUGUCGCCAGGGCCCGAAGAUUUGAAGGGAAGGAGGGGCUUGGGAAAAAAGUCGCAGAGGGUCGCGUGUAGGGCGAGGCAGGCUGCGCAGAGGUGCGAGGACGAAACAGCGACUGACCAAGAUUGGGAGUCGGGAUGAGCGUAACAAUAAAGGCAUUUAACAACAGCACCUUAUAUUCGCUAGCAGCUUGUGGAUUACUAAGGACGUUUACAUAUAUUAUCUCAUUUUUCUAACCAGUUCUGUGUCAGUAAAAUAUUUUGAACUUUUUGAAGAUGUUAGACACCUUUAAGUAACUUAAAAACUUGAGCUUUUGGAAACAAAAACAAAAAGGCCCAUUCUUUUGUGGUAAGGUGGGCAUGUAGGUGGCUUAACUGAUAGCAAUCUUAUUCAGGGACAAUUUAUUUUCUUGGACACCUGGGUCCCCAGUUGGUCUCACAUCCUGUCUCCUAAGGACUAUCAUUGAUUGCUGAGUUGAGAAAAGAAAUAUAUCUCAGGGAUUUCCCUGGCAG